rnacentral:rRNA from 1 species
AGAACGAACGCUGGCGGCAUGCCUAAUACAUGCAUGUCGAACGAACACUUCGGUGUUAGUGGCGCACGGGUGCGUAACGCGUGGGAAUCUGCCCUUGGGUUCGGAAUAACAGUUGGAAACGACUGCUAAUACCGGAUGAUGACGUAAGUCCAAAGAUUUAUCGCCCAGGGAUGAGCCCGCGUAGGAUUAGCUUGUUGGUGAGGUAAGAGCUCACCAAGGCGACGAUCCUUAGCUGGUCUGAGAGGAUGAUCAGCCACACUGGGACUGAGACACGGCCCAGACUCCUACGGGAGGCGGCAGUGGGGAAUAUUGGACAAUGGGCGAAAGCCUGAUCCAGCAAUGCGCGUGAGUGAUGAAGGCCUUAGGGUUGUAAAGCUCGUUUACCCGGGAUGAUAAUGACAGUACCGGAGAAUAAGCUCCGGACUAACUCCGUGCCAGCAGCCGC